AGUGACAACAGUCAAAUUGACCGCUGUGGCAUUUCUACUGUUAAAUACUUUUCAACUGUAGCUACCUUGAAAACUGCACAUUUUGAAAUUAAUGUUAGUUAGCCCUGGCUCGAAAUUGCGACCAUUUUGGUCGCAUAUGCUCCCGAAAUUUAAUCUGUGCGACCUCGAAAUAUAAUUGGGAGCAUUUGUGCGAGUGCAAAUAAUUGUUCUGGUGCGACCUUUUUUUU